UGGGGAAUCUUAGACAAUGGGGGCAACCCUGAUCUAGCCAUGCCGCGUGAGUGAUGAAGGCCUUAGGGUUGUAAAGCUCUUUCAGUGGGGAAGAUAAUGACGGUACCCACAGAAGAAGCCCCGGCUAACUCCGUGCCAGCAGCCGCGGUAAUACGGAGGGGGCUAGCGUUGUUCGGAAUUACUGGGCGUAAAGCGCACGUAGGCGGAUUGGAAAGUCAGAGGUGAAAUCCCAGGGCUCAACCUUGGAACUGCCUUUGAAACUCCCAGUCUUGAGGUCGAGAGAGGUGAGUGGAAUUCCGAGUGUAGAGGUGAAAUUCGUAGAUAUUCGGAGGAACACCAGUGGCGAAGGCGGCUCACUGGCUCGAUACUGACGCUGAGGUGCGAAAGCGUGGGGAGCAAACAGG
rnacentral:rRNA from 1 species